rnacentral:lncRNA from 1 species
UUAAUCGUGCAAAUGCUUUUUUCUUUUUUUCCCACAGAUUUCCAUCUGUUGCUGAUCUUGCAUCUUCCACGCUUGGCAGUGAAGAGCCGCAGACACCUGCAGACACGCAUCAGUGUAAGAGAUCGGCAGAUUUGGGUUGGCGUGACAUCGCUUUGACGUCAUGAGUGUACCAGAUAAUUCUCUUCAUUUUGCCUUUGCCUUUGUUCCACAGGCACAUUCUGCUACAUAAUAAACAGUCGACUGUUUGCGGCUCCGCUGGAUGCACAGGCCGCCUGUCCAGUGUGCAAGAUGCCCAAAUCUGAACACCCUUAUACUGAAUGAGAGCCUGCUUUAAUCAGGGUCAGUAUUCCUCGCUCAACUCUGCUUCCAGCGUACAAAUACAAAGCUCAUCGCCGCUGCAGUUUUGAUCCCUCUGACAGCCUGGGUUUGCCCUCACACUGUUUGUCUGGAUGGUCCAAUCCCACCCUGAACUCUGGCUCUCAGAUGAGCAGUCUGGAUCUGCAGGGCUCCAUGGCAAAACCAGCGGCUAUGGGAGGGUCAGCCUCAUCCUGGUUUGACCAUGAACUGGAUUCAUCCUUGCCCAAUGCAUCGAGACACCCGCAUUCUGACCAGCUUCAAAAUGUAGUUUGCCAUGGUAUCGCUUUCAGCAUUCAGACCCAAUGAGGCCAGAACCCCACAGCCGCUAUUACACUCUUGACUGAUUGCAAGAGUUAUGUACAAAAUGGAGCCGCACAUAAAUGUUUCUGCAUCCAGGAGAUUUUCUGGAUUUACUGAAAUGAGUGCAUGUGCACAGCGUUUUUUUUGUAUGUGUAAUAAUGGAAAACAUGAAUCAUUUUGUACGAAUGUGAAUUGUUGACUUCUGAC